rnacentral:rRNA from 1 species
CCAGACUCCUACGGGAGGCAGCAGUGAGGAAUAUUGGUCAAUGGGCUUACGCCUGAACCAGCCAAGUCGCGUGAGGGAAGACUGCCCUAUGGGUUGUAAACCUCUUUUGUCAGGGAGCAAUUGGCGCUACGUGUAGCGUUAUCGAGAGUACCUGAAGAAAAAGCAUCGGCUAACUCCGUGCCAGCAGCCGCGGUAAUACGGAGGAUGCGAGCGUUAUCCGGAUUUAUUGGGUUUAAAGGGUGCGCAGGCGGAUUUUUAAGUCAGCGGUCAAAUCGUGGGGCUCAACCCCAUCCAGCCGUUGAAACUGGGGAUCUAGAGUGUGCGAGAGGUAUGCGGAAUGCGUGGUGUAGCGGUGAAAUGCUUAGAUAUCACGAAGAACUCCGAUUGCGAAGGCAGCUUACUAAACUGCCACUGACAUUGAUGCUCGAAAGUGUGGGUAUCAAACAGGAUUAGAUACCCCAGUAA